ACUAACAACCAAGAAAUGCUAGAAAAAAGAUGCCGGAAAGGAAAUCUGAUCUUCUGGUUUUUUGGUCUUUAUUUACCCUCGGUUUCCACGUGACACGAUACAGAGCCCGUGGCAUUCGAGCAAGAUUCCUUACCAUCUCCAUUGGCGGUGGGCCCCCAGCCUCUAAGGCUAAGCUCAGUAUUACUGUCCAUUCAUGUUUAGCUCCACUGUAUGUAUGAUGGCCACAGAAAGCAUCCUAAGUACUUUCUGGUCCAAAUCCUCAAGAAACUGGGCAGCGAGAAAUGCCGUGUGGACUGUUCCUCACUACACGGCAAAUUUCCAGAUGCAGCUGGCUGGGAAACUUACCAGUGGUACAUUUCAAAGCAGACCUCUUCAAGUCAAUGUCUCAACAUGGUUAUGCAGUGCCAACGGCCACCCUAAUUCUUCCCAAAGUCCUCCAACAAUAUUCGUCUGAAGGGUAUGAACCCAGAAAGA